AGAGUUUGAUUAUGGCUCAGGAUGAACGCUGGCGGCGUGCUUAACACAUGCAAGUCGAACGGGGGCGUGAUGUGCGAGAGGGAUAGUUUACUAGACUUCAAACUUUUCACGCCCUAGUGGCGGACGGGUGAGUAACGCGUGGGUAACCUGCCAUAUACAGGGGGAUAACACUUAGAAAUAGGUGCUAAUACCGCAUAAGCGCACAGGGGCGCAUGCCCCGGUGUGAAAAACUCCGGUGGUAUAUGAUGGACCCGCGUCUGAUUAGCCAGUUGGCAGGGUAACGGCCUACCAAAGCGACGAUCAGUAGCCGGCCUGAGAGGGCGGACGGCCACAUUGGGACUGAGACACGGCCCAAACUCCUACGGGAGGCACCAGUGGGGGAUAUUGCACAAUGGGGGAAACCCUGAUGCAGCGACGCCGCGUGAGUGAAGAAGUAUUUCGGUAUGUAAAGCUCUAUCAGCAGGGAAGAAAAUGACAGUACCUGACCAAGAAGCCCCGGCUAACUACGUGCCAACAGCCGCGGUAAUACGUACGGGGCAAGCGUUAU
rnacentral:rRNA from 1 species